AAAAUCUGCCCAAGGCUUUGAUUUGAAAUCAUCCACGUUACCUUCUUCUUUACCCCAUCUACUGCCUUUGUCUUCUUUAAAUUACCCACAACCCUACCCAUACACUUCACUACAGAUGAAUCUCAUCAUUUCCAUCUCAAUUAUAUUUCCCAAAAACAACUGUAAUUGUGUUCCAUUCCUUCCACAAAAAUAAAAGCAAACAAACUUCGCCCUUUUUCUUUACAGAAGCGCCUAAACAAGAGCAGCAUAAGCAGUAAAAAACAUUCACCUCAUCAAGGUUCUAUCGUCAUACUCAAUUUCGUACAAGACUUGUUCUAUAUUUUCACAACACCAACAUACAUAUUCAGUUCAUAUAUUACUUGCAGAUAGAACAGAAGCAGAGCUCAGCCCUCUUCAUCUUCUUCAUAAUCACACCACGGUACCCCCAAAGUUUCCAUCUUUACUUCAUUAUUCCCACACUAUUCUUUUCGUUCUGAUGAACUUUGAUGACACACGAAACCAACAAACAAGAAAUAUACGAAUAAAAUUCUGGUGAUUUAAAAUCAUCAUAGACAAUACCAUCAAACUUGUGCCUUGACAUUUACACUUUGAACUGGACUCUUGUGAAGGAAUUGAAGAAACACAGAGAAGAACGAACCCUUAAAAUUUUGAUAAAACUUCAGUCUUUACAGCUUCGAUCUUGCUGCGCUUGAUUCUUGUUGUGUGUGUUAGUAUGGCGUGAGUUCAAUCGGGGCUAGGAGGGGUUGAAGCAGGGAGAGCGGCGGCAGCGGCUGAUGGGCUGCUGCUGUUCGGACCGAAGGAGAAGGGGGCGACGGUGAAUCUCGCCGUUCGCCGUGAGAGAAAGAGGAGAGGCGGCGGCAAUUUUGACGGCCACAGGCUGUCCGGCGAGGGAGGAGGGAAGAAGGCGGCGAAAACGCCGCUAUGGUAGAAGGUGGCAGGCGGAUGAGUGAGAGGAAGAGAGAGAGAGUGGUUUUCUAAUUUGAGCCUUGAGAGAGAGAUUUUGGGUUUCUGUAUCUGGGGGUUUGAUCAAUUGGGGGAUGGAGAUUGAGAAAAGAGGCGGCGGAGCGGCAGCCGUGGAAGAGCGGCGGCGACCGCAGCUGUUUAUGGCGAGAGAAGGGAUAGAGACAGAGAGAGUAGGGCGAGAUGUUGAGAGGGAGAGUCGGCAGAUGCAGAUGCUGGUGAGGGUGAAGGUGAUGAGCGCCGGCGAAGCGCCGCCGGUCUUGCUGGAGGUGGACGGCGGCUUGGGAGAGAGAAAUGCGAUUUCUGUGAGAGAGAGAGAGAGACGCAUAUGAGAAUGAACAGGAGAGAGAAAAGUGGUUUGGGCUUGGUUUUAUUUCAGUUGGGCUCAUUCAAUUGGGUUUCAACAUAGUCUUUUAUUAGUGCUGGGUUGAUUUAAUUGCUGGGCUUAUUCUUUUUAAGUUGGCUCUUUUCUUAAUUGAAAUUUGAGCUUUAGUUAUAAUAUGUUUUUGCAAUAAAAUAUUUAAGCAUUUAAAUUGUUUUUAAGUUAAAAGUCAAGCAAGGGUAUUGUUGGUGCCCUUACCUGAAAAUUUGUUUUCAAGUUUAUUAAGUGAGUUUUAAAAUUCGGGCAUAGCGAAUCAGAACUUAGUAGCCUCGUUUUGCUAUUAUCUAAGGCUAGUAUCACGAGACCUAUUAAGAUUAGAUUAUCUUGUAGGCUCAAUUGACCAAGAGGAUUAGCAUUGCUUUUACGAGACGAGUUACGUUUGACUUCGGACUUUGUCCAAUCAAGGUUGAUCGGUUGGUGCAGACAGGGUUGAGCUGAGGCUAGGGUUCCACGCUGUCUUUUGCUUCCGCUAAUGACUAGCUUGUUAUCUUGUCUUUCAAUUCCCUAAACUAAGAACUUCUAUUAUAUGGUGCAAUAUUAUCUUGUUGAACUUAGACUUUUUAACUCAUAUUUCUAUUAAUAAAGUUAUUGUUGAUUAUGAUCA